UAGGGAAUAUUGGGCAAUGGGCGAGAGCCUGACCCAGCCAUGCCGCGUGCAGGAAGAAGGCUUUCUGAGUCGUAAACUGCUUUUGACAGGGAAGAAUAAGCGCUACGUGUAGCGUGAUGACGGUACCUGCAGAAUAAGCACCGGCUAACUCCGUGCCAGCAGCCGCGGUAAUACGGAGGGUGCGAGCGUUGUCCGGAUUUAUUGGGUUUAAAGGGUGCGUAGGCGGCCCGUUAAGUCCGGGGUGAAAGCCCGUUGCUCAACAACGGAACUGCCCUGGAUACUGACGGGCUUGAGUACAGACGAGGUUGGCGGAAUGGACCGAGUAGCGGUGAAAUGCAUAGAUACGGUCCAGAACCCCGAUUGCGAAGGCAGCUGACUAGGCUGUUACUGACGCUGAGGCACGACAGCGUGGGGAGCGAACAGG
rnacentral:rRNA from 1 species